CUGCAUUCCACCGUACAUUAGUGAUAUGCAUACAAGUUUGAUAUAGUGUUUCCCAUCACAAAGUGACAGAAUAAGCUUGAAUAGCGCAACAGGCGGGGAGGAUACAGCACAUUAAAAAAAAAAGUUAAGCGACGAACCAGAACGCAAAGGACUCCAACAAAUUUGAACGCGGCAGCAACCGGACUGCAAGCCCCAUGAUGCCCCGCAUGCUGUUUGCGGAAGAGGCGUGGGGUGGGCGGGCGAUGGACUCUUUCUGGACAGUUAUUCUAACGUGAAUCUCAGAUACGUGGCACUUUAUGGGAGUGUGACUCAAUUUUGUAUUUUCUUCUCAUGCAGCAGAGGAAAAUUUUGAAAAACCCAACUGCAGAACCAUAAGAAGCUAAAAGACAGAGCAGGUUCUGUUGUGCCUUCUCUUCUCCCUAUCCGCUUUGUCUUGAAAAGUCCUAUUGGCUGGCAUAUCUGUCCGGCGGUUUGUUAAUGUUAAUGAUUGGCUGAACGUUUAGAUUACCAAAAGGGAAAAAACUCGGUCCCGUCCGGCCCAGCAGAAACAUAAUAAAGACAAUGUAAAGGAAGGCAGCGGCCGCCGGCGACGGCGCCUAUUGGUGGGAUUAUUCUUUUGUUUGCCAGAAGGCGCGCGCGCUCUUUGGGUUUUUUUAAAACUAUCAUCGCGGCCAUGGAGUCAUUUGAAGCCGUUGUGCAGCGUAUCCAAGCGAGUUCUAAGAAAGAGCGCGUGAACGAAGACAGGUACAUUCCGUGCUUCUUGGUACCAGCAGCAGACGUCUGUGUCCGGUCUGAUAGCGCAUUCUGCGCCUGGAGCCCCUUGCUUGCCAGAAGACAAACCUGUAUAUUCCCUUUUUUGUGUCCUCUCAGCGGCCACCGUUCAGAAGAGGCCUUGGCAGGUGGAGCACCGUGGAUGGGAGAUCACCAGGAAAUCUUUGGAGGAAUGGCCAUGAUGUGUUUUUGACCCUGCAUAUAANAUACUGAAAAAGGUCCUGCUGAAAAAAAAUUACUUUUCUGGAUGUGGAAGUUUGCUGGAGGCAGCACUAGAUAAUCAGGAUUUGGAUGAGGGUAGGUUGAUCAUCUUAGAUGAUCUGCUCCCUUCUUGAUCCUUGAAUGCUCUUUUGUGCCUGCANUUGGAAGUUAACAACUGGUGGGUCCUCUUAAUGUGAGAUUGCCAGCAAAUGGGAGGUCGAUUGUAGUGGUGCUGAUUCCACCAUUGUGAAUUGCUUGGCUAGGAUAAUUUGCUGUAUACAAACAUUGGUAAGGUUGGGGGUGCUAAGAUCUGGAUUGCACAGUUAGUGGCUGGAUUUCUUCAAUCAGGAUGAGUCAGGAAUUCUCUAAUGGAAAAUCACGUUCAUGAUUAAAAAAAAAACUUAUAUUCCCAGCUUAGUACACAUGAGNUGAGUCUGAAAAUGGGAUGAGGGUAAUUUUUUUCUUUGAAAAUUAUAUAAAGUUUUUUUUUUCCUUUGUCAUCUUACUUGAUUGAACUCUUCAAUGUGGUUUAAAGAUGGAUUCUUCAUUUACUCAGUUUUUUCAGAAUUGCAUUGCUGGCAACAGUGAUGAUUUCUUUUUGCCGUUUACCCAUCUGAAUAUACAUUGAUGCAUAUUUUCUAAUUCUGAGUUGCCAGCAAAACUUUAAAUGUCCUAGGUAAUUUGACCAGAUUUCUCAAGACAUUCAAGUUCUGCUAAAUAUUUUGUUUUUCAGUGAAUAAUUUAAGUGUCUUCCUAGUUUCAGAUGCAUUCAGAAAUGAGUCUGCUCUAAUUUUGGUGCAAUCCUGGUGCUUGAAAUUUAAGGUAGUAAAUGAUGAUGUAUUUCAUAUAUUGGUGCUUUUGCCAUUGUUACACAUAAAAAAAUCAAUUAUAGGAAAUAUAAUGAACUCCUUAAAUCUGAGAAAGAGGCAUUCUACUUUUAAGUCUUUUUUUCAAAAGUCAACAAUAAAAUCUCUUAUUUAAAACA
rnacentral:lncRNA from 1 species